GAUGAAGAACGUAGCGAAAUGCGAUAAGUAAUGUGAAUUGCAGAUUUCAGUGAAUCAUCGAAUCUUUGAACGCACCUUGCGCCUUUUGGUAUUCCGAAAGGCACACCUGUUUGAGCGUCAUGAAUACCUCAAUCUCCAUCUUUUCUUCGGAUUGAUGGGUGACUUGGAUGUUGAGCCCUGCUGGUAUGCUAUAUCAGCUGGCUUUAAACUUAUUAGCCGGCUCUGUACUGGAUCGGUUUGACUCGACGUGAUAAUAUUAUCGUUGAGGAUGCAUGUCUCAUGCAGCCGGAAAGUAUCAAAGCAGCUUCUAGCUUGCCUUUAGUGCACUUUUACAUUUUAGACCUCAGAUCAGGUGGGACUACCCGCUGAACUUAAGCAUAUCAAUAAGCGGAGGA
rnacentral:misc_RNA from 1 species